ensembl:misc_RNA 7SK 7SK RNA
GGAUGUGAGGGCAAUCUGGCUGUGACAUCUGUCACCCCAUUGAUUGCCAGGGUUGAUUCGGCUGAUCUGGCUGGCUAGGCAGGUGUCUCCUUCCUCCUUCACCACUCCAUGUGCGUCCCUCCCAAAGCUGUGCACUCGGUGAAAGAGAACGGCCAUCCCUGAUAGAGGAGGACUGGCCUUGGGUCAAGGGUAUAGGAGUAGCUGCGCUCCCCUGCUAGAACCUCCAAACAAGCUCUUAAGGAAAGGACACAGAAGUACUCAGAAGGCAGACAGAGUCCAGUGUUCUCUGGGGUUUUUAAAAGGGUUUUCUG